GGAGCAUGCACAUAAAGCUUGCACGCUGUAUACAAAUAGGCCGUAGAAGAAGAAACCAUAACACAAGAAGAAGACAACAAAAAUGACUAAUGCAAGGAAACCAGAAUUAUGAAUAUGUCAACUUUUACUC